rnacentral:rRNA from 1 species
UACGAAGGGGGCUAGCGUUGUUCGGAUUUACUGGGCGUAAAGCGCACGUAGGCGGAUCGUUAAGUCGAGGGUGAAAUCCUGGAGCUCAACUCCAGAACUGCCUUCGAUACUGGCGAUCUAGAGUCCGGAAGAGGUGAGUGGAACUCCUAGUGUAGAGGUGGAAUUCGUAGAUAUUAGGAAGAACACCAGUGGCGAAGGCGGCUCACUGGUCCGGUACUGACGCUGAGGUGCGAAAGCGUGGGGAGCAAACAGG